UAGCUGUGUCCCAAACUUAAGUGCAUGGACUCCGAAGUGCGCAUUUGAAGUGCGAAUGCGUCACAGUGGCGCGACGAAGGGUGUCCCAAACUGAAGUGUGUGAACUCCGAAGUGCGGAUGUGAAGUGCGAUUGCGUCACAGCGUCACGACGUAAGCUGUCCCAAAGUCAGAAUGCGCACUUCGAAGACCGCAUUUGAAGUGCGAAUGCGUCACCGCGGCGCGACGAAGGCUGACGAAUUUCGAAAGCGACUUCAAAUGCGCCCUUCAUUUCCCAGGAAAAUGAAGUGUACAUCUUAUGGACACUUCGCACCCUUCCAUAUCCCAGAAUAACUUGCGUGCAUAUGACGAAUGUGUUUAUAUUCAGAGGCAGGUGAGAGUUCUGUGGAGGACUUCACAUUGAAAUGCAAGGUUUAUUUGUGAAGUGUCCUGAGACAGGUGAGGGAGCGAGUGGACAGAGGACAUCAAACUCAAACAAAUACAUUCUUCAUUAGCCAAGAGAAAAAAAUAAGUACAUUACAGUUUUUCCAAUAUAUUUUUUAAAUGUCAUAUUGUCAAUGAAACAACCUAAUUUCUGUAGUUUAUUUUUGUGAUGCAAGUUAAAAAUGAAAUGCAUAAAUUGUAUACAUUAUUCAUUUUUUGUGUGUAAUUUAUUCGUAAAUAAGCCUGAGUACUUUCUGUACAUUUUGUAUUUUUGUUUUGCAUAUUCACAUGUGUAAAUAAAAAGUGCUUAUGUACAUUAAUUUUUUUUAAUGCAGCUUAUAUUUUUUUUCACAAAACAUUCUUUUAUAUGUUUAUUUGUUUGUCCUGUAAAUACUUUUUUACACAUUAAAACAAAUUGUUCUAUACAUAAUAGAAAGUACUUUUUACAACCAUUUACAACAUAUCUUAGGUUUAACAUCAGUAAACAGCAUCAGUUUGAGCCCGGCCCUGUCUCCGUGUGUUCUGGGGUCUUCAGGAGGUCAAUCUCUUGGUGAAUGGCCAGCACCUCCUCAGAGACUCGGAGGACAGUGUGGUGACAGUGGUAGAGGCACAUGUCAAACACUCUGGAGACCAUCUGUAUGAUGUACUGCUGGCAGACAGAAGAGAAACACCAGGGUCUGGAUCAUGACACACCAUCCAUGUUGCCGUUCACUUCCCAGUAGAUCCAGCAGCACAGUCAGGGUCUCCCUGCUCAGAACAAAACCAUUAAACACCUGUCCAGCGCUGCCACAUUCAGCUUUAUCCUGCACAGGGGUCUGGUCUGAUUUAGGGAAAGAAGGAAAAGAGAAAUCGUUUAGAGCUAUGAGAACAUAAUUAGUACAAGAAAUAUUGACAUACUUUAGUAAACUACUUUUAGUAACUACCAAUACCACAUUGGGGAAAAACUACUACUCAUAUUUACAACUUUAGCUGAAGGGAUAGUUCACCCAAAAAUAUAAAUUCCAAACCUGGA
ensembl:lncRNA